GGAUGUAAACGCAACCUGGCUGAGAUAGCAGCUAUGGAGAUGACUGCAUCAAUGUGACCGCUCUGCUAGGCUACCUGUCCUGUCUUCCACCAGCUCUCAUAGCUUCAUGCAGGGGCUUUUCACACAUAGAAAAGGAGCCAGUCAGUCAAGUGUAUAGCAACAACUCUUCUCUCCUUCCAGAACCUCUAAACGAACUAUUAUUGAUCAUUUGUAUGGGAAUAUGAUUUAAUUAAGUUUCUAAGACAUAAUGUUAAGAAUAUAUGUAAAUAACAUUCUCCUGA
rnacentral:sRNA from 1 species